AAUUUUAUUUUUAAAGGCAUGAACACAGAAGAGGAAAUGGUUUAGAAAGAAUAAUUGGGCCAGGUGCGAUGGCUCGAUCCUGUAAUCUCAGCUUCUCUCUCUCUUUUGGAGAGGGGUAUAAUGAGGCAUGGCCAACCUCCCUUUAAGUCAUGACCACCAUUAAUGUUAAAAUGGAGAUCAUAAGACUGACAAAAGAAACUCUGACAAUAAGAUACGAAAUUCCAGCUGGGCGCUGUGGCUCAUGCCUGAAAUCCCAGCAUUUUGGGAGACUGAGGAAGGUGGAUCACUUGAAUCCAGGAGUUCCAGAGCAGCCUAGGCAACAUGGUGAAACCCCGUCUUUACAAAAAAGACAAAAAUUAGCCAAGCGAGGUGUCACCCACCUGUAGAACCAGGUACUCGAGAGGCCUGAUGUGGAGGAUUGCUUGAGCCUGGGAGGCAGAGGUUGCAGUGAGAUCAAGCCACUGCACUCUAGCCUGGGCAACAGAGCAAGAUCCUGUCUCAAAAACAAAACAAAACAACCCAAAGAUAACCAAAUUCCAACCUGACUCUAUCUAGCAUCAUAUGACACAUAGCAGACCCUGAAGGAAAUAAAAGUAUUUUACCCCAAAAUGUAUUUCUUUGAGAUGUUUUAAAAUGGCCCUGCAAAGCUGUCUUUUGUGGGGGAAAUUUGAGUCUGUAGAGAAUCUCCAUUAGUACAGACAGGGCUUUCCCAGAUCUAGCAGAUUAUCUAAGAGUUGGAUACCUUUUAAGGUCUGAAAAGAGAUAUUUACCAUCUAUACUCUUGGUUACCUGGAGGCUUCAUCCAAAAUUUGUAAACCAAAACCAACCUGUAACAUGAGCAUCUCAGGCACAAGAACGUGUUGAGACUGUUCCCUGGGCCAUGGUCGUUCAUAUUGAUUCAAAAU
rnacentral:lncRNA from 10 species